GACAGAGGAGGCAAGCGCUAUCCGGAAUUACUGGGCGUAAAGCGUUCGUAGGUGGUUUGACAAGUCUGGGGUUAAAGCCCGGAGCCCAACUCCGGAUCGGCCCUGGAAACUGUCAGACUUGAGUAAGGUAGGGGUUGCGGGAAUUCCCGGUGUAGCGGUGAAAUGCGUAGAUAUCGGGAAGAACACCAGCGGCGAAAGCGCGCAACUGGGCCAUUACUGGCACUGAGGGACGAAAGCUAGGGGAGCGAAUGGG
rnacentral:rRNA from 1 species